CGGAGCCGUAUGAUGCGGAAGUCUCACGUACGGUUCCCUGAGAAGGGAGUGGGCUACCUACUGGAGCUUCGACCAACCACCACCGGUCAAUUCCGCUUUGGGGCCACCCCUUACUCUAC
rfam:Ricinus communis cultivar Hale ctg_1100012333809, whole genome shotgun sequence.